GUAAAUAAUAAAGGGCGUAUGGUGGAUGCCUAGGCUCUCAGAGGCGAUGAAGGACGUGAUAAGCUGCGAAAAGCUCCGUUUAGGUGCAAAUAACCUUUGAUGCGGAGAUCUCCGAAUGGGAAAACCCAAUAUGUUGAAGACAUAUUAUACCGUAAGGUAGGCAAACGCAGGGAACUGAAACAUCUAAGUACCUGCAGGAGAAGAAAACAAACGUGAUUCCCCCAGUAGCGGCGAGCGACCGGGGAUAAGCCCAAACCGUUAUUGUUUCGGCAGUAGCGGGGUAGUAGGACUGCGACAUUGAUGAAAUAAAUGAAAUGGAACACCUUGGAAAAUGUGAUCACAGAGGGUGAUAAUCCCGUACAUGUAAGUUUAUGAAUCAUAGCAGACUCCUGAGUAAGUCGGGACACGUGUAAUCCUGACCGAAUCCGCCGGGACCAUCCGGCAAGGCUAAAUACUCCUGAGAGACCGAUAGUGAACCAGUACCGUGAGGGAAAGGUGAAAAGCACUUCGAACAGAAGAGUGAAAUAGUCCCUGAACCCAUACGCCUACAAGCAGUCGGAGCCGCUUCGUGCGGUGACGGCGUGCCUUUUGCAUAAUGAGCCUACGAGUUACUCAUCACCAGCGAGGUUAAGUACUUCAGGUACGUAAGCCGAAGCGAAAGCGAGUCUGAAUAGGGCGUCAAGUUGGUGGUGGUAGACGCGAAACCUUAGUGAUCUACCCAUGGGCAGGGUGAAGGUUUGGUAACACAAACUGGAGGCCCGAACCGGUAAACGUUGAAAAGUUUUCGGAUGACCUGUGGGUAGGGGUGAAAGGCCAAUCAAACUGGGAAAUAGCUCGUACUCUCCGAAAUGCAUUUAGGUGCAGCCUCUGUUGUUUUGUUCUAGAGGUAGAGCUACUGAUUGGAUGCGAGGGCUUCACCGCCUAUCAAAUCCGGCCAAACUCCGAAUGCUAGAACAUAAAGACAGGGAGUGAGCCAGCGGGUGCUAAGGUCCGUUGACGAAAGAGGGAGAACUCAGACCAUCAGCUAAGGUCCCCAAUUAUAUGCUAAGUUGGAAUAAAAACGGGGUGGGACUGCUUAGACAGCUAGGAUGUUGGCUUGGAAGCAGCCAUUCAUUUAAAGAGUGCGUAACAGCUCACUAGUCGAGCGGUCCUGCAUGGAUAAUACGCGGGCAUAAGCAUAUAACCGAAGCUAUGGGAUUGUAGAUGAUACAAUCGGUAGGAGAGCAUUCCAUUCAGCAUAGAAGCAGUAUCGUGAGGUAUUGUGGAGCGGAUGGAAAAGCAAAUGUAGGCAUAAGUAACGAUAAUGCGGGUGAGAACCCCGCACGCCGAAAGAUCAAGGAUUCCCCGGCAAUGUCAAUCAUCCGGGGGUAAGUCGGAUCCUAAGGGUAAGCCGAGUGGCGAUCCCGAUGGUAAACAGGUUAAUAUUCCUGUACUGAUCAUAACUGCGAUGCAGCGACGCAGAGGUGACACUGCUGCGUACUGACGGAAUAGUACGUUGAAACCCGUAUUCUUUGAUACCGGUAGUGAAGCACGCCGGUAGAGAUGAAAGGUGAUAGUACCGCAAUGCUUCGGUUGCGCGGAUAAUGCAGGUAAGCUGACUGCCAAGAAAACCUGCUAAGCUUCAGGUAAUGAUCAUCCGUACUGUAAACGGACACACGUGAUCAGGUAGAAAAUACUAAGGCGCUCGAGAGAUUCAUGGUUAAGGAACUAGGCAAAAUGGUCCUGUAACUUCGGGAUAAAGGACGCUCUUGUGAAAGAGCCGCAGAUAAUAGGCCCAGGCGACUGUUUACCAAAAACACAUGGCUAUGCUAAUUCGCAAGAAGAUGUAUAUGGCCUGACACCUGCCCGGUGCCGGAAGGUUAAGAGGAGAGCUCAGAGGUAACUCGAAGGUUUGAAUUGAAGCCCCGGUAAACGGCGGCCGUAACUAUAACGGUCCUAAGGUAGCGAAAUUCCUUGUCAGGU
rnacentral:rRNA from 1 species